rnacentral:rRNA from 1 species
UACGGAGGGUGCUAGCGUUGUUCGGAAUCACUGGGCGUAAAGCGCGUGUAGGCGGUCCGUUAAGUCUGAUGUGAAAGCCCGGGGCUCACCCCCCGGAAGUGCAUUGGAAACUGACGAACUCGAGUCCCGGAGAGGAGGGGUGGAAUUCCUGGUGUAGCGGUGAAAUGCGUAGAUAUCAGGAGGAACACCGGUGGCGAAGGCGGCCCUCUGGACGGUGACUGACGCUGGAGACGCGAAAGCGUGGGGAGCAAACAGG